rnacentral:rRNA from 1 species
AACGAACGCUGGCGGCAUGCCUAACACAUGCAAGUCGAACGAGACCUUCGGGUCUAGUGGCGCACGGGUGCGUAACGCGUGGGGACCUGCCCUUAGGUUCGGAAUAACUCCCCGAAAGGGGUGCUAAUACCGGAUAAUGUCUUCGGACCAAAGAUUUAUCGCCUUUGGAUGGGCCCGCGUUGGAUUAGCUAGUUGGUAGGGUAAAAGCCUACCAAGGCGACGAUCCAUAGCUGGUCUGAGAGGAUGAUCAGCCACACUGGGACUGAGACACGGCCCAGACUCCUACGGGAAGCAGCAGUGGGGAAUAUAGGACAAUGGGCGAAAGCCUGAUCCAGCAAUGCCGCGUGAGUGAUGAAGGCCUGAGGGUUGUAAAGCUCUUUUACCCGGGAUGAUAAUGACAGUACCGGGAGAAUAAGCUCCGGCUAACUACGUG